rnacentral:lncRNA from 1 species
ACCAUGCAUGAAAUGUGUCUUAGAAGAUGGAGGAGAAUAAGAACGGGACUCUGUCUUCUAGGAACCUAUGAUCAGGCGUAAUAACUGAAGUUAUUUGAUGAAUGCGCUGGACAGGGGAUAUGUGUCUUUGAGUAUGGCAUCUGAGAGGAGCAGCCGUAACAGUUCCUGACCUGUACAUUUCCAAGUUUGUGUCAUGUGAUCAUGGUACCCGGCACGUGAGUAAUUAAAUCAGGGCCAAAGGCCUCUGUCUGUAGUCUGAGCUGAUCACGGGCCAAGAAAUGGCCUGGGUUGAGUGCUCUGCCCAGUGCAGGGGCUCCGCAUUGGGUGAUGACUCUGUGACUGGGUCAGUCCCUCUUGUUCGUGUUUUGAAUUUGAGACAUGUCAUCGACAGGCAGUAGAAACAAGCUGAGAGAGCAGCAGAGGCUGCCUCGUGUGACUGUCAAUCACUGGAGUAUCUGACUUUCUCACCCAGAGUGAGAUUGCAUUUCUGAGCAGUGAGUAGGGGGCUCGGUUUUCUGUGAAGUCUGGCUGCAUCGGUCCUGAGACCUUUCCUUUCUUCCUGGUGUGAUCUUACAAUAAACUCCCUAUGGCAUGAUGCAAAACUAGAGCCUAACCAAUAUAGUGUGUCCUUCUCUUAUCUCUGUUCCUAUCUUGCAUCUACCAAUGAUUUUUAAAAUGGUGCUUACUGUUCUCUAUCAAUUAACCGUGUAUCAUAACCAUUUUUCCCAGGCUGUUAAAUAUUCUUUUCCAGCAAUAUAUGAACUAGUGUAGAUACAAAUGUCCAUUGCUCUCUGAAAGUAGAGUGUUCCUAUGAAGUCUUUUGUAAGACAAAAUUGUGUAAAGUGAAAAAGAAAUUACUUUAGGAUACAUCUUGCUACUGGAGGCACAAAAUAAAUGGAGAUAAAGCACAGAUAUUCACAGACAGAGUUUAAAGCUAUGGCGGUCUGAUGCUGUGAUGCUGAGAUGCUGAGUGUAGUUCCUGAGAAAGGAGCUGGGUGGCGCCACUCUUGCUGUUUGGGAUGUGGGCUGUCUCUAUAAAGGUUUGUUGCAAAACCAGUGCUGAAUGCUAUAUUCACUUUUCAUCUUUUUUCGUAAAAGUGAACACACUCGUGGAUUUCUUUUGGUUAGCAAAAAUAGGCCCUUGUGUAGUGAUUGCGUCAAAGAGAAGUAGGAUAAAGAGAACUUAUGAAAAGCAGGAGAUACCGGGAUUCUGUUGAAUGGCUAUGUAAUCAUUUCCCUGGUGUUGGAUACUUAGGUCUUGAACUGUCUUUUUGUGUGUUUGUUUUGCUUGUAUAUACGUCAUCAAACUCAACAUCAUUGAAAUUGAGUAUCUGCAAACACCCAUGAUAUUUUUAUAGGUAGGAGUUUGAUAGGAAGAUAUUUGGUGAGAAGGGAAACGUUUCAGACCGAGGAUUUGGCAUGAAAUAAGCCCAAAUUUGUGAACUAGAGAAACAGGAGGCAUCUCAUCACAUAAUCAAAUUUUGCUAGUGCUGGCUACAUUUAAGGAGACAGUGGCUGAAUUAUUGAUAGACUUGAAUGCUAAGUUAAGGCAUGGCCUUUAAUAAGAGUCUCUUGAAAAAUAUAUGUGGAAAACUUGGAGUAUCACAGAGUGAAUCUCUCUGUCCUCUAAGAGGAUAGUGUGGUGUUACAGAGAUGGUCAGCAGAGGUUAAUCUGGCCUAAUUCAUAUUAGUAUGGUCUAUAUUAAAAUAGCACAAAAAAUCCUUUUGUUUGUUGUAUUGUGCUUUGCUAAAAAAAUAAAAUACUAUGUUUUUAAGGGGAUUUUAUCAAAGUAGAUACAGUCAUAAAACAAAUGAUGUCCUCAGUAAACUCUAUUAUGGAUUAAUACCAUAACUUCUGGUUUGUGUCAGCCGUUUAAACAAUUAAGAAAUAUAUAUAUAUAUUGCUUCACUGGAUCCUGAAAGCAGCAUAGCUCACAUGGAAGAUAAUCUGCCCAUUUUACAGAUGAAGUAACAGGUUAGGUGAUUAAUGAAAUAAAAGGUCAGAGCUCGAAUGCCAGAACUUGACUUUUCAAGGUCACCUGGGUUCACCGUUACAUUUUCUAGUGGUGACAGACAGAGUCUGGAUGAAAAGCCAGGUAGACUGAUUCCAGGGUCAGUGCCUUUUCCAAUAAACAAAUGGAAGUAUUCUGCCCCACUUUGCUUCCUUAAGGAAUUCCUAAACUUUAAUAUGCCUGAGAAUCACCCAGAAAUUUCUUAAACAUCAAGUUUUCCUAUGCCCCAUUCCAGACACUCUGUUUUAGCAGGCCUGGGCUUAGACCCAGAUGAUAUGUAUUUUGAACAAAUGCCCCAGGUGAUUAUGAAGACAGUGGUACCCAGAACCGACUUUAAGAAAAGCCGUCUGUCCAAUAUCAAGCUUGAAAUCGGCUUUGUCUCCUCUUCAAGCAUGCCUGCUCUUAGAAAAGUGACUCCAGCCCCGCCUUGUUGUAACCCCUUAUCAGUUCUAUGUGUUUUGCAAAUUGCAUUUGCUCUUCAUUUAUGGACAAACCAGGUCAGCACUGCCAGGCCAAUAAGAGCUGGAUUUUCCCCGGCCUCAUGCAUCAGUGACAUAUUUGCCAACAUCGGCCCAGUUCCGACAUCCCCGCAGUCGGCAGUGGUUGAUGAUGAUGCAGGCUACACAUGACUCGAUUUGCAGAGAGCCAGCUAAGCUUUCAGGGAAGUCAAUAAGAAAAAUCUCAUUUUGAUCUGCAGAUUGGGCUCAUUUGAUUUGGAAGUCACUGGUGGCAAAAGAAAUAUGGGGCCAGGGAUGUCUCUUCCAGCCCCUCUCUCACUGUAAUCACCCCUGAGAAGCCGUUUUCUCCAUCUGCCUCCUCCUCCCCUCCUCUACCCAUAGAUUCAGUGUGUCAGCCAUGAAGGCAAAAAAGAAAUAAGCAAUAACCACUCUCAGACUUUCUGGAUGAUUCUUCUUUCUCACUCUGUACAGAGGAGAAAAGGUCAAAACAGCACCAUAAACUAUUUGCCCAGACCAUUUGCUGUGUGGCUCCUAGGAAACCCACAUGGCCUGUGUGACUUCUUGCACAGGUCUGUGACUUCAGCUUAAAGAGGUCAGAAAGGAAAAAAUAAGGGCAUCAUUCUGUCUUGUGAAGUAGCUCUUGGGUCUAGGUGCUCCACGGGCUCAUGUGCAUGUCGGAAUGGUUACGUUUACCUCCUAAGUAUCUCUCAACUCUGAUAAGGUCUAUUUAUCAGCCCUCCACCCCCAUGACACUAGUUUUGCCAUAGAUUCUACAAUAUCCUCCUUUUCCCAUCACAUUCAUUAUCCAUAAAGCAGCCUGAGUGAUCAUGAGAUCCCACCCCUCAUUGCAGCCCUUUGGUGGCUUUGCCUUGUCCUAGAGAUAUAGUCUUUAUCUGCUUUCCGGUAUGGUAGCCCCUAGUCACAUGUGACUGUUGAGUAUUUAAGAGGUGAUGAGUCUGAAUUGAGAUAAGCUAUAAAUGCAAACAUCAGACCACAAAGCUUGAGAAGAAAAAAGCUUGUAAAUAUUAAUAAUUUAAUAUUGAUUAUAUGUUGAAAUAAUAUUUUAGAUGUAGUGGGUUAGUACCUACAAUAUACUACAUUUUAUAACUAAUUAAAGUUAUUACAUUUAAUGUCAGAUCUUUAUUUUUUUCUUUUUAAAAUGUGGUAUUAGAAGAUUAAAAAUUAUAUACAUGGAGUUCUCUUGGUGGCUCAGUGGUAAUGAACCCAAUUAUUAUCCUUGAGGUUGUGGGUUCAGUCCCUUGCCUUGCUCAUUGGGUUAAGGAUCUGGCACUGCCAUGAGCUAUGGUGUAGGUCACAGACGUGGCUCAGAUCUGGUGUUGCUGUGGCUGUGGCGUAGUCUAGCACCUGCAGUUUCCAUUUGACCCUUAGCCCGGGAACACCAUAUGCUGCUGGUGAGGCACUAAAAAACAAACAAGGAAAAUGACAUACAUGGCUCACAUUAUAUAUCCUGGUCAGUGUGGGUCUCAACUCUUGAACAUGGCUUAUCCUCGUUUUGCUCCAUUCCCUUCUUGCACCAUCCAUUUUGGCUGUAUUAAUUUCCUGUAAUCUCUUGAAUUAAUUAUUCAUCUCUUUGUUUUGGGAUAUGAGUAAGCUCUUGCUUCCUUCCAUUACUGCUCUGUCACUAACUCAUAUUUCAGUAUGUCUCCUGAAAGUCAUUUCUAGCAUGUCAUUGGCUCAUUCCUGACUCCAUAAGUCCAGCUAAGAUGGCUUGCCUAUGGAUCCAGUAGAAUCUCUGUACUUUCUCUUCUGCAAUACUUUCCAUAUUCCUUUGGAUUUGCUUUAAUAAGUAUAUACAUAAAAUAUGCCCAUUGCACUAAAUCAUAAGCUCCAUUAAGACAAGAGCUAUAUCUGUCUUAUGCUCCUUUGAACUUAGAGGAGGAACUUGAUAAACAUGUGUUGAGUAAAUCUAGGCAACUUGUUGAAUGGGCCAGGGAAUUGAAGUCCAGUGUGGGGAGACUUCUUAACCAAGGUCACACGGUGAGCUCAUGGCAGAGCACCUGGGGCCAGUGCCAUGCAGCAGGGACAUGGAUUUGAAUAAGAUGUGCCAUGGGAAGAAUUUUUUAAAAUGCAGCAGAGAUUUGUGCAUGCUGGUUUAAUUCUGCCUAAAAUGGUAAAGAAAGAACUAACAGAAGGAAUUGUGAUGCCAGACCUGGUCUCCAGCCUAAGGAAAUACCUUCCCAGCAUCUCUGAGUCCACCACUUCACUUCUGGCACUGUCAGGUUGGGAGGAGUAGGGAUAGGAAAGAAGUGACAAGACCUUGAAGAUCUGGGCUGUCUGUAGGCCAAGCAGAGACACAGGACAAGUUGAGUCAGGGCCUUCCUGUGUUCAGCGAAAUUGUCCACAUGGAUUACAGACCAGAGGUCAUUCCUUGAGAUGCUGGCACAACCAUUCCUCCUGUUGACAUGUUUCUGAAGAGAACAAAACCAGAAGAGCGAUUUUUAGUCGUGAAGCCUCCAGGGUUCUGAUAUCAUCCUUUGCCAUACUUGCACCUGGGAAAAAAUCCUUUCUGGUCCUAGAAAUACAUAGCUUUAGUGCAUUUGCCAAAUGUGUCAUGUUAUAAGUUCUUUUGGAAAAUGUGAUAAAAGGGGAAAUCUGUUUUCUGCAGGAUUUUCUAUGGUACUUGAGCCUAAUAACUUUUUUCUAAUUAUAUAAUGUGAGCUAAAUACAGUAAAGUUGACAGAUGGGAAAUUUUACUCAUAAUCCCAACAGCCCAAAUAAUCCCACUAUUUAUACUUACUGUAAGUCUUUUUAGUGUUCUUCAUUAUUUAUCCACUUCUACAGUUUUACAAAAGUAAGAUACUAAGAAUACAUUUUAACACUAUUUUUCCUCUCAGUUGUAUAUAAUGAACAAUUUUCUAUGUCAAUAAGUACUCUUUGGUAAUAUAAUUUUAUUUCUUACUUAAUAUUCUAAUAUAUAUGAACCUUCCCAACAAUCUUUGAUUAUUGAACACUUAAAUUGUUUCCAUUUUUCUUUUUUUUUUUCCCUUUGGCAUUAUAAAUCACUCUACAGGAAUUCCCUUAUGCACAUGUCUCUGAUUUUUCUAAAAAACAAAAUUAUCAAAGCAGAAUUUCCUACCAAAAUAUAAUGGACAUUUUAAAGAAUUUUGAUAUUUAUUUUUAAUUAACCUUCUAAAAGUUUUAGCACAAACUGAAUUUCACAGUUCCCGAGUUUCUUCCUAAUGCAACUCCUUUUAUGUUUGAAAGUUGUUCUGUCUAUUACCAUAAAAUUUUUUCCCCAUUAGGUUGAUGAUACAUCCAAAAGG